AUUGAACGCUGGCGGCAUGCCUUACACAUGCAAGUCGAACGGUAACGGGCCUUCGGGUGCCGACGAGUGGCGAACGGGUGAGUAAUACAUCGGAACGUGCCCGACCGUGGGGGAUAACGAGGCGAAAGCUUUGCUAAUACUGCAUACGAUCUACGGAUGAAAGCAGGGGACCGCAAGGCCUUGCGCGGACGGAGCGGCCGAUGGCAGAUUAGGUAGUUGGUGGGAUAAAAGCUUACCAAGCCGACGAUCUGUAGCUGGUCUGAGAGGAUGAUCAGCCACACUGGGACUGAGACACGGCCCAGACUCCUACGGGAGGCAGCAGUGGGGAAUUUUGGACAAUGGGCGCAAGCCUGAUCCAGCCAUGCCGCGUGCAGGAUGAAGGCCUUCGGGUUGUAAACUGCUUUUGUACGGAACGAAAAGCCUUCUUUUAAUACAGGAGGGUCAUGACGGUACCGUAAGAAUAAGCACCGGCUAACUACGUG
rnacentral:rRNA from 1 species